UAUUAAAAUUUUCAUCCAUUUCUAUAGUUAAAAUUUGGUGUGACUGACAAAAUUACCAGACAAUUACCCGUCACGUACAACGUGUACAUCAUGUUGACGUAUAGGGACUAAUUUUUAAUUGUAGAAAUAAACAAUUUUUAACA
rfam:Gossypium hirsutum cultivar TM-1 chromosome 5, whole genome shotgun sequence